AUACGGAGGGUGCAAGCGUUACUCGGAAUCACUGGGCGUAAAGCGCGCGCAGGCGGCUAUUUAAGUUGGAUGUGAAAGCCUACGGCUCAACCGUAGAACUGCAUCCAAAACUAUUUAGCUAGAGUGUGUGAGAGGAAGAUGGAAUUAGUUGUGUAGGGGUAAAAUCCGUAGAGAUAACUAGGAAUACCAAAAGCGAAGGCAAUCUUCUGGAACACUACUGACGCUGAGGGACGAAAGCGUGGGGAGCGAACAGAAUUAGAUACCCGGGUAGUCC
rnacentral:rRNA from 1 species